UUUUAUGGAGAGUUUGAUCCUGGCUCAGAGUGAACGCUGGCGGCGUGCCUAAUACAUGCAAGUCGAACGAUGAAGCUUCUAGCUUGCUAGAAGUGGAUUAGUGGCGCACGGGUGAGUAACGCAUAGGUCAUGUGCCUCUUAGUUUGGGAUAGCCAUUGGAAACGAUGAUUAAUACCAGAUACUCCCUACGGGGGAAAGAUUUAUCGCUAAGAGAUCAGCCUAUGUCCUAUCAGCUUGUUGGUAAGGUAAUGGCUUACCAAGGCUAUGACGGGUAUCCGGCCUGAGAGGGUGAACGGACACACUGGAACUGAGACACGGUCCAGACUCCUACGGGAGGCAGCAGUAGGGAAUAUUGCUCAAUGGGGGAAACCCUGAAGCAGCAACGCCGCGUGGAGGAUGAAGGUUUUAGGAUUGUAAACUCCUUUUGUUAGAGAAGAUAAUGACGGUAUCUAACGAAUAAGCACCGGCUAACUCCGUGCCAGCAGCCGCGGUAAUACGGAGGGUGCAAGCGUUACUCGGAAUCACUGGGCGUAAAGAGCGCGUAGGCGGGAUAGUCAGUCAGGUGUGAAAUCCUAUGGCUUAACCAUAGAACUGCAUUUGAAACUACUAUUCUAGAGUGUGGGAGAGGUAGGUGGAAUUCUUGGUGUAGGGGUAAAAUCCGUAGAGAUCAAGAGGAAUACUCAUUGCGAAGGCGACCUGCUGGAACAUUACUGACGCUGAUUGCGCGAAAGCGUGGGGAGCAAACAGGAUUAGAUACCCUGGUAGUCCACGCCCUAAACGAUGGAUGCUAGUUGUUGGAGGGCUUAGUCUCUCUAGUAAUGCAGCUAACGCAUUAAGCAUCCCGCCUGGGGAGUACGGUCGCAAGAUUAAAACUCAAAGGAAUAGACGGGGACCCGCACAAGCGGUGGAGCAUGUGGUUUAAUUCGAAGAUACACGAAGAACCUUACCUAGGCUUGACAUUGAGAGAAUCCGCUAGAAAUAGUGGAGUGUCUGGCUUGCCAGACCUUGAAAACAGGUGCUGCACGGCUGUCGUCAGCUCGUGUCGUGAGAUGUUGGGUUAAGUCCCGCAACGAGCGCAACCCCCUUUCUUAGUUGCUAACAGGUCAUGCUGAGAACUCUAAGGAUACUGCCUCCGUAAGGAGGAGGAAGGUGGGGACGACGUCAAGUCAUCAUGGCCCUUACGCCUAGGGCUACACACGUGCUACAAUGGGGUGCACAAAGAGAAGCAAUACUGCGAAGUGGAGCCAAUCUUCAAAACGCCUCUCAGUUCGGAUUGUAGGCUGCAACUCGCCUGCAUGAAGCUGGAAUCGCUAGUAAUCGCAAAUCAGCCAUGUUGCGGUGAAUACGUUCCCGGGUCUUGUACUCACCGCCCGUCACACCAUGGGAGUUGUGUUUGCCUUAAGUCAGGAUGCUAAAUUGGCUACUGCCCACGGCACACACAGCGACUGGGGUGAAGUCGUAACAAGGUAACCGUAGGUGAACCUGCGGUUGGAUCACCUCCUUUCUAGA
rnacentral:rRNA from 1 species